rnacentral:rRNA from 1 species
GUUACGGCGGCCACAGCGAGAGGGAAACGCCCGGUCCCAUCCCGAACCCGGAAGCUAAGCCUCUCAGCGCCGAUGGUACUGUUCUCGACACGGAACGGAAGAGUAGGACACCGCCGAACAC